rnacentral:rRNA from 1 species
GAUGAACGCUAGCGGGAGGCCUAACACAUGCAAGUCGAACGGUAGAGGGGGCAACCCCUUGAGAGUGGCGAACGGGUGAGUAAUAUAUCGGAACGUGCCCAGUCGUGGGGGAUAACGUAGCGAAAGUUACGCUAAUACCGCAUACGAUCUAAGGAUGAAAGCGGGGGACCGUAAGGCCUCGCGCGAUUGGAGCGGCCGAUAUCAGAUUAGGUAGUUGGUGGGGUAAAGGCUCACCAAGCCAACGAUCUGUAGCUGGUCUGAGAGGACGACCAGCCACACUAGAACUGAGACACGGUCCAGACUCCUACGGGAGGCAGCAGUGGGGAAUUUGGACAAUGGACGCAAGCCUGAUCCAGCAAUGCCGCGUGCAGGAAGAAGGCCUUGGGUUGUAAACUGCUUUUGUACGGAACGAAACAGUCCUGGUUAAUACCCGGGGCUAAUGACGGUACCGUAAGAAUAAG